UUUCCAUAACUGCUUAGGAAUAUUCUAGGAAAGUGAGGCUUGGGAAUGAAUAAGCAAAUAGUACAAAAAUUUAGGUAAAAAACUGUGCAAAAACAGAUUUCUUAAGGGGUGGUUUUGAAUUUGGAAAUUAUGAAUUGUUGCCAUAGAAAGAGUGUUAUAAAUACACACUAUAGGUUAGGAGCAAAGGACACACGACAGAAAACAUCACAAAAGCUCACUCAAUUUUUUUUCCAGAAUUUGAAGCUUCUUCUUUAGCUUUCAAGUUUUUUUUUUCUUUUUUUUUCUGGGAUUUAUAAGAGGAACAGAUUCUUGAAGUUGUGGUUUUGGUUUCUUCUGCUGAAUUUUCACUUAAUUUCAGGCUAACAUUUGGUUUAUUUAGCUGAUUUGGUCACAUUUAGGUGUCUCAGGGCGCGAUAGUAAGUGCUGAUCAGUCUUCCAGCAGGUCUCCAGAGUUGACUAGGUAGCUGCUUGGUGUUCGCAGCCCAGUGCUUCUCCUUCCUAUCUUAUUCAACUUUGUAUUAGUAUUUUGUCUUCAGACUAUAUUGUCCUUUCUUAUUCCUAGACGAGUUGUAGCUACUCAUGACUGGUGACACCCCGAUGUCGGGCUAUGUUAUGUUUUUGCACUAUUUAUUUAACUUAUAUUAUGGUAUUUUAGCUAAUUAAUGGCUUUAAAUAA